rnacentral:lncRNA from 1 species
AAAUAAUUUUGAAAUAUAAUUCCAAUGACUGUGAACUGCAGUAGGAACAUUGCAGUUCCAUGGUAAUAUUACUCAGUAAUGUCAACUUUCUUGAGAGCUUUCAGUUAGCUAAUUUUUCAUCUAUUUAGCAUAUCUUUUUGAUAAUUUGUAGUGCUGGUUCUUAAAAUCAGGCUGAUUUGAUGUCUGUUGACUGUUAUGAUACUCUUCUCCUUUAAGUCUUCAUUUGCUGAAUUCAACGUGGAAUCAAUGGAUUUUGCCUUCUUUACUCUUGCUUCUUGCAUUUGUACAAAUGAAAAUGAGGAAUUUCUUAUGAUCUCUUGAGAUGCCGACUCCAAAAUGAUUCUUUGCUUAGGAUACCCACAAACCCACUGAGCAAACUGUUUCUCUUUGGUUGUGUAUUUUGCCCAGUCUCAUAUCUUAUGUCUUAUCUGAAGCACCUUUUCUGCUUCUCUCCCAGCAGGAACAAGUACGUGUCAAAAGGCACUUCUUCCUGGAAGCUAUUUGCACAGAAGCCUGAGCCCCAAGAACUGCGUUGUGCUGCUCAGGUUGUAUAUGUUAGGUGUAGUGAAGAAAGUAUGUUUCUUCAUGUUUCCUUCUGGAGAAAUCUGGCAACAGAUUGCCAAAUGCUGAAAAGGUUGUUUAACAGGAGCAAUUCUUAAAGCCACUUCCUAUUAUUUGGCUAUUUGAAAAGGGAAAUAAUCAAACCAGAAGACAUCUCUGGUGUCAAGAAGCUGCACAUGUGAAAGUUUGGAGUGUUGUAAUUUUUCUCCUGGUUCUAAUUUUAUUUAUAAAUAUCUGUGGCCUACUUAAAUAGAUGGACUGAACUUCUUCAAACUGAGAAAAAUCAGAUGCUUGCUUUCCUCAGGUGAGCAGUUGUGCAGACUCAAAGCAUUCAGAAAAAGUGAAUUAACUGAAGGUGUGGAAAUAAAAUACACUAAACCUUUUGUGGACGUGCA